AUACUUACCAGGGAAGAUACUAUGAUUAUGAAGGUGGUUUUCCCAGGGCGAGGUUGAUCCAUUGCGCUCCGGAUGUGCUGACCCCGUGAGUUCCCCAGUGAGGGAAACUCAACUGCGUAAUUUGUGGUAGAGGGGGACUGUAUUUGCACUCUCCCCGG
rnacentral:snRNA from 1 species